rnacentral:rRNA from 1 species
AGAGAGAGACAUGCGCGCAUAUCAAUAAGCGGAGGAAAAGAAACUAACUAGGAUUCCCUCAGUAACGGCGAGUGAAGCGGGAAGAGCUCAAAUUUGAAAUCUUCAAGGUUCUACCUUGACGAAUUGUAGUUUAAAGAAGUGUUUUCUGUUGGAGUUUUGGUAAAAGUUCUUUGGAAUAGGACAUCAUAGAGGGUGAGAAUCCCGUAUUUGACCAUUAUUUCCAGCUUUGUGAUACACUUUCAAAGAGUCGGAUUGUUUGGGAAUGCAGUCCAAAAUGGGUGGUAAAUUUCAUCUAAAGCUAAAUACUGGCGAGAGACCGAUAGCGAACAAGUACCGUGAGGGAAAGAUGAAAAGAACUUUGAAAAGAGAGUUAAACAGUACGUGAAAUUGUCAAAAGGGAAGCGUUUGACACCAGUGUUGUUUUCUCGAAAAUCAAUUAAAAAGAGUUAGAUUUUGUUGUGUAUUGACCUUAACAGCUUGCAUUUCAAUUUUCUUGCUUUUUUUAAUGCACUUUUCGUUUAACAAGUCAACAUCAGUUUCUUUUGUUGUAAAAAGGUCAUUGGAAGGUGGCUUUCUUUUCGGAGAAAGUGUUUAUAGCCUUUGGCCUCUGCAAUCGGAGAGAUUGAGGUCUGCAGCGUAGAUCCUUCGGGGUUAGAUACAUUUGUGCUAAGUUAUAGCCUUUCCAUAGACAACUUGUUGACUAUGAUCAGUCAUGUAGCUUACUCGCUUAUGCUAUUUUACCUACGCUUAGGAUGUUGAUGUGAUACUGCGAGCA